rnacentral:tRNA from 1 species
AAGGGAGACCUAAUUCAGGUAGGAGACGAAAAAAAAGUAGUCGCUACCAAGAAUCAAUCCCAAAAGGUCGGAGCGAGGCGAAAUUGGCUUUCAAACUAGGUUCUGGGUUCACACAAGACCUGAAUCAGGAACAAGGGCUAUUAGCUCAGGUGGUUAGAGCGCACCCCUGAUAAGGGUGAGGUCCCUGGUUCGAGUCCAGGAUGGCCCACCUGCACAGGUGGCAAAAACAAGAGAAGCGAGGAAUCAGCACCUUAUCUUAUCUAUAUACAUAUAGGAGAGAAUGCUGGCUCUGAGUAAAGAGUCCAGAGGAACCUUGAAAACUGCAUAGAGCUAGGUGAAAAAGCCAAAAAAGAAGACCGCAAGGUCAAGCUAAUAAGGGGUAACGGUGGAUACCUAGGCAC